UGGGGCUCGGCCAGUUAGGCAGUGGCCUUCGUUGCGCCUGCCUCGGCAAGCUGUGAGGCCAGUGUGGCAGUGUGGCCGCCGCAUGCGUCUGGUAAACAACACAAUGGUCCUACUGCCAUGGAUAUCGGUGGUGGCCGCGGUGACAGCGGCCCUUGUGGCCUACGUGAAGUGGGCGCAGUCUUACUGGUGGAGACGCGGCGUGGUCCAGACUCGGCCUCGGCUUCUCGGUGACCUGUGGGACCAGCUAAUGCGCAGACGGACGGCAGGGGACGUUAUCCAAUCGAUCUGCAGGAAACAUGCCAAAGAACCCUUUGUUGGGAUUUACAACAUAACGACGCCCAUUCUCGUCGUGAAAGAGCCAGAGCUCAUCAACGAGGUAUUGGUGAAAAAUUUUAAAAGUUUCGCCAACAAUGAAACUGUCAUUCCGGAAGGUGCCGAUAGAGCUUUCGGCUACAACCCGUUCUUCGCUGCGUCUCACAGAACAGGAAAAAAAAUGAAUUUUUUACCUCGAACUCGGAGGGGGACACGGCGGCGGCGGCGGCGGCGGCGGCGGCGGCGGCGGCGGCGGCGGCGGCGGCGGCGGGAAAUAAGAUCGGCUGAUCCGGGAGAGGACAGGUGGAAAGAGCUGCGUCUUCGACUGUCGCGGGCUUUUAAUCCAUCCCGCGUGAAGAUAGCUUUCAGCGAUAUGGCUACGAGUGCAGACUGCCUGGCUCACCUCAUAGCGGGCAGCGAACCGGGCACCAGCCACAACGGCCUGCUGCUCGCCAAGCGGUACACGGCGCACGUCUCUGCCAGAGUCCUGUUCGGCAUUGAGUCGCACAGUCUUGAGAUUGGAUCCCAGCCAGGUGUAUUCUACGAAAUGGGGCACAAAAUAUUCAAUUGUGAUUUCCUUCAAAAUAUACGAUUAAUGGUGUUCAUUUACUACCGCCCACUGAGCAAACUAAUCGGAUACAACAUCGUCAGCGAAAGCAUAGUCGAUUUUUUCCGAAAAUUGAUUCGCGAUUCUGUGGAGUACCGGCACAGAGAAGGGGUGACACGGGAAGACUUCGUGGAACACGCCGCGAAGACCAUCAUGGUGGACGGAAAAGUCGCUGAAGACCAGCUCUCGAAAUUGGCUGGACAGGCCAUCAACUCCUACGUCGAAACGUUCGAAACAAGUGGCAUCACCCUUGCAUCCGUGCUUCUGAUGCUGGCCACGAACCCUGCGCAGCAGGAGAGGGUUCGCGCCGAGCUUAAGGAGAAGCUCAAGCCUGGGGAACCUCUGGAGCACGACGCUGUGGUGGGAUUGCCGUUCCUUGAGCAGGUUGUGAAUGAGACCAUGCGCCUGUUCCCGUUCUCCGACACCAUGCGCAGGAUGUGCACGAAGGCCACGACGCUGCGGUCGGCGGAGGGCCCAAGCGUGCUGGUAGAGGAGGGAACAGCCGUGUACAUCCCCGUUGAGACGGUACACAGGGACCCCGCCUACUACUCGCAUCCUGAAGACUUCUGGCCGGACCACUUCUCACCGGAGGAAAGUGAGGGCCGGCCAAAGAGCGUGUAUCUUGGCUUUGGCGAUGGCCCUCGGCAGUGCCCGGGUAUGAAGUACGGCACCCUGCAGGUCAAGGUUGCCCUGGCGACCGUGCUCCAACGCUUUGAGGUGUUGCCGGGGGAAAAGCAGGUUCUUCCGGUGCAGCGCGACCCAAUGGCUGGGCUCCUCAAUUACAAGGGUGGAAUUUGGCUAAAAUUCCGAGCACUUGCUGAAUAGGUUAACGUAUAAAAAAAGUUACCCCGUUACAACCUCACGAAGCUCUUACUUCGUACUUACGAAGGAUUUGGCAUUUUGCUUUGUAGGGUUUUAACAGUGUAAAAACCAGAAAUAUUUGCGUCGAUCUUCACUGGUAAAACAAGUGUUCAUGUCAUUGAUGUUUUAGUUGAAGUGUUAGACUUGUUUCCAAAACAACUUUUUUCACAAAUCGACCGGGACCGCUCGAUUUCUUAUUUCAAAUAAUUCAAAGUUUAACGUCCUUAAACAGUUUUGAGGUGAGACAACGCUAACCCGUGCCGCAAAGCAGUUCUGUUUUGUGUUUUCUCAUUAACACUAGAACUACCCGGGUGGAAGGAUCUGAAGACGAACUGCAGUCAGAACUCUAGUAAUUUCAUCAUAGCAGUUAAACUGUAGUUAAUCUGCAGUUUUUCCCGCUUUGUGGCCCUACGUCCGAAAAAAAUGCAGUUAAACUAUAGAAACCUAUACUUAAACUUUAGUUUAACUACAGUUUAACUACAGUUUUCGACUAUAGUACUGAGUGCGGAUCUUUACAUCCGGGUACCGGGAUUUUCGUAUACCUAGAUCUAGCAGAGAGACCAUUUUGACCCCUAGGUACUAUUCCGCCGUUUUAGCUGUUAUAAGACUGCGGUUUUGGGUACACGACUUCUUAUUUCCGAUCAUUAUGACGCUUGAUUCAAUUUUUGGACCCAUGAGGGUGUCUUUGUGGAGGUAGGUACACUGGUACAACAAGCGUUUAAUUUUGCACGUCAAUUGACGUUCAAGUUCAAGUGUGCAUUUUCUCGACACUUUGUGGUGUCUAACUAUAAUAUACGUCAAUUGGCGUUUAAACUUUCGACACUUCCGAAAGGUAAAGCAGCUGCACACCGUAUGGUUCCCUACUGGCAGCAUAGAACUGUGUGUGUCCAAGUGUGCAUAAUUUACAAAACGUACAAAGUUUGCACACCACGCAAACACGUUUGGUGUGCAAAUAUUGCACACUUGUUUUACCAGUGUAGGCAACCCACAAAGCAGAAAACGUAACUUUUCAGAAGUUUUACAGCUUUCUUCGCAAUUUUUCGUUUAGUUUCGGGAAAAUUGGAUAGGAUUACAAUGAAAUACAAUAAGUCUUAAUAUUUUAGCAUAGCCUGUGUUUAUUUCAGUCUGACCAACAACCGUAAACACCGCCAAAAGGUAAGUGAUUCUGAAACUUUGUUUCUGUAAAUAAAACAGUAUACAAAUAUCAUGCAAUAUCAGUCAUAUUAGGCCAUUCAUUAAUUUUUUUAACCUCCGUUUGACCAUAGAACGCUUUUUCAUGCCGACAGGACCGUUGAGAAUGCCUCAUAUGUAAUAUAUAAGAAACACGUGAUUUUGUGAUGUGCGAUUGCUUAUCUAUGCUGACAGAGGUUCAAAAUUGUCAAAUGACCAACCGGCCGUCUGUGUUGGGCCUAGACCCAUGAUGGGCUAGUUCACCUGAACGCCCUGCCUCCGUGUCCCUGCUGCAACACCUCCAAUUUCACCAUGUGGGCCGUACGAAGAUCUUGUUCUUCUCUCGUCCACGUCGGAAACUUCCGGCGCAUGACGUGUCGCCGACGUGACGUCAGUUCCGUCUCACCGUCUGAACGGCCUUUCUUUGUGCUCAGUGCCCUAGUGCCUUUGGGGCUUGUGUUAGUGUUUUGUGCCCUAGUGCCUUUGGGCUAAUUUUCUGUUAUUUACGCUGAGUGAAGUUGUUUUGUGACGUAGUCAGAAUGACGUCACUUCCUUGUUGUUCAUCUCCCGGCUCUGGGGAGGCGCCCCCCUUUGCCGGUGAUUUUUCUUCAAAGUUGCUUUUACGCUGCUAAGCGACUUUUUGGUGAGUGCACUCUUCUAUUUAUUUAUUCCUUGGCCAAGAGUUUUGUACUUUGUACCGUUAUUGUGUGUACUUUGUAUUUUGUACACUGUUGUACUAUAAUGUACAUUUGUAAAUGUAGUGUUUUAAUACACUGUUAUGUGCUCUUGCACUCGUACGUUCAUUUUUGAACGUUUGUAAUACUAAAAUAAUGCAACUUCAGCAAUCCCUUGUUUAUGGGUUACCUUUUGCUUCUUGUUUGGCUGUUUAAUGCCUGUAUUCCCCCACUGUUUAUAGUGGUCGGUUGUGAUUUUUCCCCAUUGUGGUUGGCGUUUAUGCCGUAAUCUAAUUAUAUUAGUAUGCUGUUUGCCUAAUCAUUGCAUUAUUUCUCUUAAGGGGGACGCCCCAUAUAACUUUGGGUUUGAAAUUAUUCAUAGUGUUUGAAAAUUUCUCCGUUAUCAGGACAGUGUAUGCUCUCUUGUCAUUUUCUGUGUUUUUGAUAACUUUGUGAUAUGAAUCUGUUGUCAUUGGUAUAUUGUUGUUGUUUACCGUGUGCUUUGUUUCAAAUUUGCACAUCGAAACUUGUAUGUUUGAUAUUUAGACAAUUUUCUUUGUUGUGCUGUGAUAUGUUGCUCAAUGCUAUGAUCAAUUCUAUGAGGGUUUACAAAAAUGUUCUCAAUGUUCUCUAAACCUAAUUUAUUAAAAUCAGUUGAUUGUUUAUAAAGCCUUCCAAUUCAUACGAUAUAAAUAUUUAAACAAUUACAGUAACUUUCUCGUAAACAAGUACAAAAUUAUACUGCUUUAGUUUCAAUGGUGAAGCGGUCGUUUCUCCGUGCUUUGGUCCUUCCUUGGUUGGCUGAUUUUAUUCGUCUUUAUCUGACCUGAAAUUUAAUAUGACCACUAAUAGCUGCAAUUGUUUAUAUAGACAAUAUUAUUUACACUUCAACUUACCUGAAAGUGCUAGAUGGUGUUACGAUGCUCUGUGGACAGAUUUGAGAAACUUAUUAUUGUACUGCAAAUCUUACCUUGUUGUUUGCUACUUUGUUUACUCACCCAAAUCUUAUGCAGUUUUUUGGUACAGCCCGGUGUUGUUGGAUAAACUUGUUGACUACUCAUUAGUUGUUCUAUUAUUACAGUAACUUCCAUUUAAUUGUUGAUUUGCUCUUGUUAAAUACCUGCAAUAGAAAUAAUUAUUAAUUCAAAAUUUGUACAUCACUAUUUGUCACAAUAUAAAUGUGUAUCAACUUACCUUGUGAUUGUAUUGUAUUUCUGAUGAUCUCCUGAUAUAUAUAUUAAACCCUACUUAUGCAACAUGUUA